AUUGAACGCUGGCGGCAGGCUUAACACAUGCAAGUCGAGCGGAGAUGAGGUGCUUGCACCUUAUCUUAGCGGCGGACGGGUGAGUAAUGCUUAGGAGUCUGCCUAUUAGUGGGGGACAACAUUCCGAAAGGAAUGCUAAUACCGCAUACGCCCUACGGGGGAAAGCAGGGGAUCUUCGGACCUUGCGCUAAUAGAUGAGCCUAAGUCGGAUUAGCUAGUUGGUGGGGUAAAGGCCCACCAAGGCGACGAUCUGUAGCGGGUCUGAGAGGAUGAUCCGCCACACUGGGACUGAGACACGGCCCAGACUCCUACGGGAGGCAGCAGUGGGGAAUAUUGGACAAUGGGCGGAAGCCUGAUCCAGCCAUGCCGCGUGUGUGAAGAAGGCCUUUUGGUUGUAAAGCACUUUAAGCGAGGAGGAGGCUACCUGGAUUAAUACUCUAGGAUAGUGGACGUUACUCGCAGAAUAAGCACCGGCUAACUCUGUGCCAGCCGCCGCUGUAAGAC
rnacentral:rRNA from 1 species